rnacentral:rRNA from 1 species
AUGCAGAUUUUUGUGAAGACGCCAACGGGGAAGACGGUGAUCCUCGAGGUCGAGAGGACGGACACCAUCGGCAACGUGAAGGCCAAGAUCGAUGGUGAGGAAGGUGUGUCGCCGGAGCAGCAGCGGCUCAUCUUCGGCGGGAAGCCGCUGGAGGACGACCGCAGCCUGGCCGAGUACGACGUCCACAAGGACUCCACUCUCCACCUGCUGCUUCAUCUGCCCGGCGGGUUUCGCGGCCGCGAGGGUGGUUGGUUUACGGACCCCAGCAUGAGAGCCCUCGCAGAAAGCUACAGCCGAAACAAGAAGAUCUGCCGCAAGUGCUAUGCUCGGCUACCUCCUAGGGCAACAAACUGUCGCAAGAAGAAGUGUGGACACAGCACUCAGCUGAGGCAAAAGAAGAUCUGGAGGCCUUACGACUAA